rnacentral:rRNA from 1 species
GAUCCUGGUUCAGGAUGAACGCUAGCGACAGGCUUAACACAUGCAAGUCGAGGGGCAGCACGGUGUAGCAAUACACUGGUGGCGACCGGCGCACGGGUGAGUAACACGUGUGCAACCAACCCCGUACCGGGAGAUAACCCGCGGAAACGUGGACUAACAUCCCAUAAGACUCUAGAGCCGCAUGGCUCUGGAUUUAAAAUUCCGGUGGUACGGGACGGGCACGCGCGACAUUAGGUAGUUGGCGGGGUAACGGCCCACCAAG